GAUGAACGCUGGCGGCGUGCCUAAUACAUGCAAGUCGAGCGAACAGACGAGGAGCUUGCUCCUCUGACGUUAGCGGCGGACGGGUGAGUAACACGUGGAUAACCUACCUAUAAGACUGGGAUAACUUCGGGAAACCAGAGCUAAUACCGGAUAAUAUAUUGAACCGCAUGGUUCAAUAGUGAAAGACGGUUUUGCUGUCACUUAUAGAUGGAUCCGCGCCGCAUUAGCUAGUUGGUAAGGUAACGGCUUACCAAGGCGACGAUGCGUAGCCGACCUGAGAGGGUGAUCGGCCACACUGGAACUGAGACACGGUCCAGACUCCUACGGGAGGCAGCAGUAGGGAAUCUUCCGCAAUGGGCGAAAGCCUGACGGAGCAACGCCGCGUGAGUGAUGAAGGUCUUCGGAUCGUAAAACUCUGUUAUUAGGGAAGAACAAAUGUGUAAGUAACUAUGCACGUCUUGACGGUACCUAAUCAGAAAGCCACGGCUAACUACGUG
rnacentral:rRNA from 1 species